rnacentral:lncRNA from 1 species
GUGUGGGGCUUGGUGGAAAAAUACUGUUCUUAUCUUUGGGCUGGCCCUGCUACUAAUGUGGGCAGAGGCCUCCAGGGUGCUGUUUGGCUGGUGGGUCAGGCAGACGGCCACUGCCUCAAGGAGAGUGGUGAAGACAAAGGUGUCAGCCAAGCUCACUCUCUGUUUGGAAAGUGAAACUCAACUUAUCACAGACCAAUAUUACCAAGAUACCCAGGACGUCCCCUGUUGCCUGGUGGAUGAAUACUCCUUAAACUAUAGUGUGAUCAGGAAUGUCAAUGCAGAGGGUAGAUUUGCUGAAACCAGGAAAGGAUGGGUGUCUGAGAAUUGAGGGAUGAUAUUUGUGUACUCCUUUAUGUGUGGUAUAGAGGAGUGGUACAGCAUCUGCCACAACAAAUGUACGUGAAUUAAGAAAAGACAAUAAAUACAUGAGCAACAUAAAAAUUGCUAUUUUU